GACAGAGGGUGCAAACGUUGCUCGGAAUUACUGGGCGCAAAGCGCGUGUAGGCGGGUCGGAAAGUCGGGCGUGAAAUCCCCAGGCUCAACCUGGGAACUGCACUCGAAACUUCCGGUCUAGAGUGGUGGAGAGGGAAGUGGAAUUCCUGGUGUAGAGGUGAAAUUCGUAGAUAUUAGGAGGAACACCAGUGGCGAAGGCGGCUUCCUGGACACCAACUGACGCUGAGACGCGAAAGCGUGGGGAGCAAACAGG
rnacentral:rRNA from 1 species